UGGAUCCAGACUUUGAUUCUGGCUCAGGAUGAACGCUAGCUACAGGCUUAACACAUGCAAGUCGAGGGGCAGCAUGACGAUAGCUUGCUAUUGUUGAUGGCGACCGGCGCACGGGUGAGUAACGCGUAUCCAACCUGCCCUUGUCCAUCGGAUAACCCGUCGAAAGGCGGCCUAACACGAUAUGCAGUUCUCAGCAGGCAUCUAACGAGAACGAAAUGUAAGGGAGAAGGAUGGGGAUGCGUCUGAUUAGCUUGUUGGCGGGGUAACGGCCCACCAAGGCGACGAUCAGUAGGGGUUCUGAGAGGAAGGUCCCCCACAUUGGAACUGAGACACGGUCCAAACUCCUACGGGAGGCAGCAGUGAGGAAUAUUGGUCAAUGGGCGAGAGCCUGAACCAGCCAAGUAGCGUGCAGGAUGACGGCCCUAUGGGUUGUAAACUGCUUUUAUGCGGGGAUAAAGUGAGCCACGUGUGGCUUAUUGCAGGUACCGCAUGAAUAAGGACCGGCUAAUUCCGUGCCAGCAGCCGCGGUAAUACGGAAGGUCCGGGCGUUAUCCGGAUUUAUUGGGUUUAAAGGGAGCGUAGGCCGUCUGGUAAGCGUGUUGUGAAAUGUCGGGGCUCAACCUGGGCAUUGCAGCGCGAACUGUCAGACUUGAGUGCGCGGGAAGUAGGCGGAAUUCGUCGUGUAGCGGUGAAAUGCUUAGAUAUGACGAAGAACUCCGAUUGCGAAGGCAGCCUGCUGUAGCGCAACUGACGCUGAAGCUCGAAAGCGUGGGUAUCGAACAGGAUUAGAUACCCUGGUAGUCCACGCGGUGAACGAUGGAUGCUCGCUGUUUGCGUCUGACGUAAGCGGCCAAGCGAAAGCGUUAAGCAUCCCACCUGGGGAGUACGCCGGCAACGGUGCAACUCAAAGGAAUUGACGGA
rnacentral:rRNA from 1 species